UGGGGAAUAUUGGACAAUGGGCGCAAGCCUGAUCCAGCAAUGCCGCGUGAGUGACGAAGGCCUUAGGGUUGUAAAGCUCUUUUACCAAGGAUGAUAAUGACAGUACCUGGAGAAUAAGCUCCGGCUAACUCUGUGCCAGCAGCCGCGGUAAUACGGAGGGAGCUAGCGUUGUUCGGAAUUACUGGGCGUAAAGCGCGCGUAGGCGGCUAUUCAAGUCGGGGGUGAAAGCCCGGGGCUCAACCCCGGAACU
rnacentral:rRNA from 1 species